ACAAGAGUAACUGCAAGACCAACAACUAAAACAACUAGACCAACAACACACAAAGCAGCAAGAACAAGAGGAACUACAAGACCAACAACUAAAACAACAAGGCGAGGAGUAAAUGCAAGAAUUACAACACCGAAGGUAAAAACACCAGCUCAGACAGCAGCGCCGCUCUUGUCAGAAAGAAGUACAGAAGAGGUGGAGAGCUAAGGGCCGUUGUCGGGGUAACAGUAGGUGUCCUCGGCCUCGUCAUUAUCGCAGCUCUCAUCUACUUUCUGCGCAAACGCAGAAUCAGAAGAUCUCGCAAGUUCCUACUGGACGAUGACAAUGAACAGAAUCAAUCCCUCGGGAUUGUGAAUGUUGGCUACGGGCUCACCGCUCUUCAUGAUUGGAAACAGACUAUUUUUAAACAGGUAUUAUAUUACUUUAUUUCUAUUUAAGUUCUACAGACUGCGAGCUACAUCUUACAAAUCACAGAGUAUCAGUGUUUCAUUUGAUUUUAACG